rnacentral:lncRNA from 1 species
AUCAACAAAAAAUAAUUCAUAUCAAUUUAGUUGAAGUUAUUUAUCUCACCCCAUUUGCCAAAUAAAAAAAAGAAUAAGUGCAAAGAUAAAGAAUAUCAUUGGAGCAAGUUUAUAACAAAACCACAUAUAACAAGUAAACAAAAUGAUCAUACCUUUGCGAUUUGUUAACUAUAUAUAUAUAUAUAUCAACAUUAUGUUACCAAUAAUAACUUGAUAGUUGAGCUCCUUAGUGUAGUCUCUCAAAGUAAAGUAUCAUUCGUCUCCAUUUUGACCUUGAGAUAUCUACAAAAUAGACAAAUCUUCUCUACCUUUUUGGUACCCAAAUUUUCUUGGGUCCAUUUGGGUUAGUAGCAUAUAAAUCACAUUUCUUUAC